GACGAACGCUGGCGGCGUGCUUAACACAUGCAAGUCGAACGCUGAAGCUCAGCUUUUGUUGGGUGGAUGAGUGGCGAACGGGUGAGUAACACGUGAGUAACCUGCCCCCUUCUUUGGGAUAACGCCCGGAAACGGGUGCUAAUACUGGAUAUUCACUGGUCUUCGCAUGGGGGUUGGUGGAAAGGGUUUUUCUGGUGGGGGAUGGGCUCGCGGCCUAUCAGCUUGUUGGUGGGGUGAUGGCCUACCAAGGCUUUGACGGGUAGCCGGCCUGAGAGGGUGACCGGUCACAUUGGGACUGAGAUACGGCCCAGACUCCUACGGGAGGCAGCAGUGGGGAAUAUUGCACAAUGGGCGCAAGCCUGAUGCAGCGACGCCGCGUGAGGGAUGGAGGCCUUCGGGUUGUGAACCUCUUUCGCUCAUGGUCAAGCCACAACAAUGGUUGUGGUGAGGGUAGUGGGUAAAGAAGCGCCGGCUAACUACGU
rnacentral:rRNA from 1 species